rnacentral:rRNA from 1 species
UACGAGUGCCUCAAGCGUUAUCCGGAAUCAUUGGGCGUAAAGGGUGUGUAGGUGGUGUUGUUAGUCUUCUGUUAAAACCCGGGGCUUAACCCCGGGCUUGCAGUGGAAACGGCAAUACUUGAGCAUGCAAGGGGCUAAGGGAACUCAUGGAGUAGGGGUGAAAUCCGUUGAUAUCAUGGGGAACACCAAAAGCGAAGGCACUUAGCUGGGGCAUUGCUGACACUGAGACACGAAAGCGUGGGUAGCGAACGGG